CCUUACCAGGGCGUGACAUGGCGGGGAAAGGUAUAGACAUAUUUCCCUCUCUUCAUGAAACAUCCAACCAGUUGCCCCAUGGUUGUCGUCAGCUAAGCUGUUGACAAGCCAGAGUAAGUCCCUCAACCAGCGCAACCCCUAGGUUUAGUCUCCAGCGCAUAAUGCCGGGGACUUCAAGUAGACCUCCGAUGGCAAAUUGGAGGAAGGUGGGGAUGCCGUCAAAUCAUCCUUCCUCUCAGAUCCCGGGCUACUCGCGUCCUACAAUGGUUGGUACAGAGGGCACAAAUAUAUCGAUAGCAUCCCCAUCUCCAAAGCCAAAAUCAGUUUUGGUAGUAGCAUGCGAUUAGCCGACAACAAGUGGGAGUAGUCCGUCAUUGGGGAGCAGAUCGUUGCGGUGAGGGCGGUUCCGGGUCUUGUACACACCCCCCGUCACGGUC
rnacentral:rRNA from 1 species